UACGAAGGGGGCUAGCGUUGCUCGGAAUCACUGGGCGUAAAGGGUGCGUAGGCGGGGCUUUAAGUCAGGGGUGAAAUCCUGGAGCUCAACUCCAGAACUGCCUUUGAUACUGAGGAUCUUGAGUUCGGGAGAGGUGAGUGGAACUGCGAGUGUAGAGGUGAAAUUCGUAGAUAUUCGCAAGAACACCAGUGGCGAAGGCGGCUCACUGGCCCGAUACUGACGCUGAGGCACGAAAGCGUGGGGAGCAAACAGG
rnacentral:rRNA from 1 species